ensembl:lincRNA Gm36520 predicted gene, 36520
UGGUCCAGCGAGAUGCUGAAGAAGUCAGGCUCACAGAGCCCCAUUGUGGUGUGUCAGAACCCACAGAAAAUGUUCCUCCUGUGCAUUAUUUAUGACUUUCCUGCAUUUAUAUAGUAUCCAGCUUCCUGAAAGUAAUUUGUUUUGGAUUGUGUAGUGCCGGGCAGCACAUCAAAGGAACAAAGCCUUCUGGGAAGGCUAUGAAGAUCUUCAAGCCCACUUGGACAGAAUUCUGUAGACCUCCUGAUUGAACCAAUGGCAACCAUGGCAACCAUGGGACCAGUUUUAAAGUGGUGCCAAGGUGCUAGGUUAACGAAGAGAAUCUCUCAAGACUGGACAUUUAGGCUGCACUUGCUGGUUAUAAUUUAAAUAUUUCUCAAUAAAAGCAUUUCCCAUUUUAAAA